rnacentral:rRNA from 1 species
GACGAACGCUGGCGGCGUGCUUAACACAUGCAAGUCGAACGGAAAGGCCCUGCUUUUGUGGGGUGCUCGAGUGGCGAACGGGUGAGUAACACGUGAGUAACCUGCCCUUGACUUUGGGAUAACUUCAGGAAACUGGGGCUAAUACCGGAUAGGAGCUCCUGCUGCAUGGUGGGGGUUGGAAAGUUUCGGCGGUUGGGGAUGGACUCGCGGCUUAUCAGCUUGUUGGUGGGGUAGUGGCUUACCAAGGCUUUGACGGGUAGCCGGCCUGAGAGGGUGACCGGCCACAUUGGGACUGAGAUACGGCCCAGACUCCUACGGGAGGCAGCAGUGGGGAAUAUUGCACAAUGGGCGGAAGCCUGAUGCAGCAACGCCGCGUGCGGGAUGACGGCCUUCGGGUUGUAAACCGCUUUCGCCUGUGACGAAGCGUGAGUGACGGUAAUGGGUAAAGAAGCACCGGCUAACUACGUGCCAGCAGCCGCGGUGAUACGUAGGGUGCGAGCGUUGUCCGGAUUUAUUGGGCGUAAAGGGCUCGUAGGUGGUUGAUCGCGUCGGAAGUGUAAUCUUGGGGCUUAACCCUGAGCGUGCUUUCGAUACGGGUUGACUUGAGGAAGGUAGGGGAGAAUGGAAUUCCUGGUGGAGCGGUGGAAUGCGCAGAUAUCAGGAGGAACACCAGUGGCGAAGGCGGUUCUCUGGGCCUUUCCUGACGCUGAGGAGCGAAAGCGUGGGGAGCGAACAGGCUUAGAUACCCUGGUAGUCCACGCUGUAAACGGUGGGUACUAGGUGUGGGGUCCAUUCCACGGGUUCCGUGCCGUAGCUAACGCUUUAAGUACCCCGCCUGGGGAGUACGGCCGCAAGGCUAAAACUCAAAGGAAUUGACGGGGCCCCGCACAAGCGGCGGAGCAUGCGGAUUAAUUCGAUGCAACGCGUAGAACCUUACCUGGGUUUGACAUGGAUCGGGAGUGCUCAGAGAUGGGUGUGCCUCUUUUGGGGUCGGUUCACAGGUGGUGCAUGGCUGUCGUCAGCUCGUGUCGUGAGAUGUUGGGUUAAGUCCCGCAACGAGCGCAACCCUUGUUCACUGUUGCCAGCACGUUAUGGUGGGGACUCAAUGGAGACCGCCGGGGUCAACUCGGAGGAAGGUGGGGAUGACGUCGAGUCAUCAUGCCCCUUAUGUCCAGGGCUUCACGCAUGCUACAAUGGCUGGUACAGAGAGUGGCGAGCCUGUGAGGGUGAGCGAAUCUCGGAAAGCCGGUCUCAGUUCGGAUUGGGGUCUGCAACUCGACCUCAUGAAGUCGGAGUCGCUAGUAAUCGCAGAUCAGCAACGCUGCGGUGAAUACGUUCCCGGG